rnacentral:sRNA from 1 species
UAAUAAACGAUGCCUGGCUCCCCGUGUC